UACGUAGGGGGCAAGCGUUGUCCGGAAUCAUUGGGCGUAAAGAGCGUGUAGGCGGCCAGAAAAGUCCGCUGUGAAAACUCGAGGCUCAACUUCGAGCUGUCGGUGGAAACUUUCUGGCUAGAGUCCGGAAGAGGAGAAUGGAAUUCCUGGUGUAGCGGUGAAAUGCGCAGAUAUCAGGAGGAACACCGGUGGCGAAGGCGGUUCUCUGGGCCUUACCUGACGCUGAGGAGCGAAAGCGUGGGGAGCAAACAGG
rnacentral:rRNA from 1 species